GACGUGUUUUGUUAGGUACACAUUUUGUAGAAUCUCCCCGUUGUGCCGAGCUCUGAGGAAAGGGCCCUGACGUUUUGACCCAGGAACUCCACUUCCAGGAAUCUGGCCUAUAGAUAUUACUGCACGAGUUCACAGACAGAUGUGGACAAAGAAAGGCACCUGCCAUAUCAGAAAACAAAGGAUGUUGCAGCCAUCAAGCUGUCAGCCACUGCAGCCGCCCCAGACUGUGCACCCAGAACGGAUUCGGGAUGGAGAAACCCAGGAUGCCGGCCCCAGAUAGCUAAGUAGCCGGGCUGCCGUCGUUCGGGAAGGCCUCGGCAGCGCUGUGAAGGAAGGAGAAGUCGUCUGACCCCUUGAGCUCGAGCCCCUGCUGCCUGACAGUACCGCACCACGGCCCACAGGCCCCCAUAUGGAACAUCAGGCCAGAUGUUUUACUGACGUCACAGAUAACUAUCAAUGCAGUAUUUAAAUGGACCCCAAGAGAAAAGCUCCAGAACUUUCUUAAUUGCAUUCUAAAGGGAUCACCUGGAUGCACGUGUGCUGGGGCGCAGAGGUGCGUUGCAGCUCGGGACACCCAUCCCAUCCCCCCACCUGGCAGCCCAGCCUCCACCCCCUCCUCCAGGUCUUGGGGCCCCCAGCCUGUGCCUUCCCUUCUUCCUGGGCUGCAGGAAGGAUGGUUCCAGAAGCCGCUUUUGCACCCUGCCUGUGUAGCAGUGUCUGUCGGCACGUUCCAGCGCUGGCUGGGAGCAGGGCCCUCCUGGCGCCCCGGUCUCCACGGAGGGUGACACUGCAGUUCCGGGAGAUGCGUGAUGAUGCGGAGGUCGGAGGCCGCCCUCUGUGGAGGCCUUCCCCAGCCUCUCUAGAGAGAGGGCCCAUCUCCCCUUGCCCUUGUGAAGCUGAAUGGCCCGUCGGAAAACCGCGGGCCCAGGCGCCAGACAGACGUGGGUUUGGAUGCUGGCCUAACCUGCAUCAGCGUGUCAGCGUGAACCAGGGGGUGACUCUCCGUCCCAUGCCUUCACGUCCCCCUCUGAAGAAUGGGCCGAUUCCGCUUCAAUCAGAGGCUUGUGGACAGUAAGGGGAAGCCCAGCCCUGGGGCAGAUACUCUGGAGACUUGGGUUCUCUUCCCCUCAGGCUGCCUUGGGUUACUUAUCAGUGCCACCAGCGGCGGUGAGUCCCUCGAAGCAAAGGAGGGGUGACUCCUUAUCACACCUCUUCCAAACUGCCUGUUCGGGCAUCAUUUAAGGGACUGGCAUCCUUUGCCCGUGGCCAGAAACCACGGUGUCCCUCUGCAGCGAGCUUCCCGAUGCUCAGCGUUUGCACCAGACAGGAUGCCAGCGAGGAAGCGGGGAAGGUGGGGGGCAGGGUUGGCUAACCCAGCCAGAAAGUUCACGCAACUGCCGCCAGAUGCCCAAGUGAUGAUGUCACCAAGCCUCCAUCGCUGGUCCCCUCCGGCUUGCUGGGUUUAUUCUCCAAACAGACCUGCACGUGGGGCUGGCAUGGGCCGGGCCUUAGAGCUCACGGCCGCACAGAGCAGCCUCUCCGCUCGGCCAGCAGAGUGUCCAGGGGAGGACCUGGGGCCUGGCCACGGGUCUGGGCUGUGUGCUGUCCCUACUCAAGCCGCGGUCACCUGCCCGCUCUGGGUCUGGGACAGGUCGCAGUGAGUAGAGAGCCGCCCGCUCUGUGGAGAGAGGGCUCGCCAAGGAAGGCGUGCUGGACACAGAGUCAGAUGUCCAUCCCAGUAACCACAUUGCCCAAGCUCCCUGUUGUGUCCAUGCCUCUUGCAGACGAGAGGGUUGCUUCAUCUUAUUGCCCAACCAGAGAGAAAGCGGGAGAUGCCAGUGGGAAGGCCCUGGGUGGGGUUCGGAGGGCGGGGGGAAGAGGCCCUGAUUCUAUGAAUCUCUUUUUAUGAGCGUGGCCACAGCUGUGGCGUCUCUGAUUCUCCGGGGGCCCCCGGGGUGGGACUGACAGCCUCUGCCUGGAGACAAGGCCAGGCUGCGGGGACCAGGGAGCAGGGGGUGAGCCUGAGACGCCUCUGCUCCCCGGGCCCGGCUCCAGCCUGAACGGGGCCCAUCAGUCUGGUCCUUUAUCUCUCUGAUUGAAAUAUUUAUCGGGCUUUUUCAAAGGCCACCGCGGCUCCGGAAAUCUUUCCCAGCACCCUUCCGUGGGGCCGGAAUCUGUCAUCGUGGAGCCGGAAUCUGUCAUCGUGGAGCCUCGUGCUGGGGCGGGGCUGCAGUGGGGCUGGGUGCUGCCUCUGAAGGGCAGCCAGGCCACUGACCCGCCCAGAGGAAUGAGGUCUCAAGUUCAAGGGCAACGUGCACUCUCCCUCUGCCCCUCCAACCUCACCCUCCCUCGUGUUCUGCCCUGCAUCUGGCAGCUGAAUCAACCCGUGGAGGGCCAAACCGGGAGGGAAGGGAAGCGGGGCACAGGGGCCUCUCAGGAACUGGGUGCGUGCUGCAGGACAGCAGAGGAGGGCUUCCUGGGGGAGGUGAUGUAGACUGGGAGCCUGGAGAAGGGAAGGCGUGCAGGGAGGACGUGAUGCUGACCGUGGGUGCCGGCAGGUGUGGGGGGCACUGGCGGGGGUCACUGGGGCUGGCGGGCCGGACUGCGCGCCCUCGUCUCUGUGGCAGUGGGCACCCCCGGGGGUUUCCAGACGCAGAGUCUCUGGGCUUUUCAUCUUCUGGAGCCUCGGCUGUGUUGAGGAUGGACAGUCAAGGGGGGGGAGAGCCCCUGGGAGUCCGCGAACUCGGGGGCCUGGACCGAGGGAGGGAAGUAGGGCCACUCCCUUCUUCCAUCAAGGCCAACGUGCCCGGGCGCGCACCUGUGCUGGGGGCUGAGCCCGGAUGAAACAGGUGGGCUUCCCACCCUCAGAGGCACCCCACCCCGCCCCGGAGCCGCCCACCCCAACUUCCUGCGGAGACGAGUGAACUAACUGUGUGAAGUGCCCGCGCACAGCCCUUUGUGGCUCCAGACUGGCCGGCCCAGGCUGGAGGGCGGACGGUGGGUCUAGGGGGCCGCAGGCAGGCGGGGUGUGGGGAGGGACGGGGGGCAGCCUGGGGGCCGCUUCCCAGGGUCCCGCUUCGGGGAGCUGAAUGGGUGGGGAUGCCAGCCACGCGGGGAUGGCGCCAGGGGCUGAGGGCUGCGGACAGGCCAGCGAGAUGGACUCCCACAGGACGAGGCUGAAGUGCCCGAGGACUGCCCGCGUGGCGACGUCCUCCUCCCUGCGCCUUCUCUUUCCUCCCUGUGCCCCCCCCUCCGUGCUGUCAGCGGCCCCCCGGAAGAGCUCGGGGAGCCUGGCGGGCGUCUGCGCUCCAGCUUGGGGACCGCGCGUGCAAGGAUGCUGGGGCUGACGCGGCUGGACCAGCCCUGGCCCAGGGAAGCCACGCUUGAACCCCUGAGAGGUGAACAGGGCGGGUGGCUGGCGAGGGCCAUCCCGAGGGCAGAGCAGGGAGAGCCCAGGCGGCACGCGCGCCCCCAGCCCAGCUCGGUUCCGAGCCUCCGAGCCACGAGGGUGGCACAGCAGGUGCCAGACACCGGCUCAGCUGCAUCGAAUACGUGCUCAACCGAAGAGGUAAAUCGUUCCAAGGAUGCUUCCUCGUACUUUUCAGAAGGUAGGGCACUGGAGCAAUCGAAGUGCUGCCUCGUUUUGCCUGGGCUCUGUAGGUCAUUUACUUUAUUCCUUUGGAUAAUAGUCCAUUGAAACAUGCACUGUGGCAACCCCUGCACUGUUUAUGCUCCUUUGGACUCUUUUCAGGUGGCAACUUGCCCCAUAACAGGGCGGGGACAAAGGGAAGAGCUUAGACAGGGAACAAACUGAAAUGGCCCACAUCAGCUGGGAACUCACUGCAGGGGAGCCAGCCUCCGUCCCAUUGACGGAGCCUGAAGGAUGGAGCUGGCUCCAUCCUUCCGGGAGGACUUGAUUCCACAGCCCGAGGCCCCUCCCAAAUGUUUGGACCAAAGCUGGCGGUGGCAGCACCUCCUACUCCCCCCUUGACUGCAGCCUGCGUCCUUACCUCUAUGUGACGACGUCCUUGGACUAGAUUCCCUCCAGAUUUCUCCCAACCCGCAGCUGCAGCUCCCGCCUCUUCACCAGACCCAGUACCACCCCUAGCUCUCAAAAGAAGUUCUACAGAUAAACUUUCCCAAGAAUUCUAGAAACAUAGUAAAUCCCUAGUCCCCCAAAGAAUCGAGGAAACUUUCUUUAGGUCUUUGGUGGAAAAUUUUCACUGCCGAGGUCAAAUCAUUCACUGGUUUCUCAUCUCUCUCCUCAUGCUAGAAAGUUAGUGCCAAGAAAGCAGCGCGUUUGUUCUGCUUCACUUCUGUGUCCCUGGGGCCUGGCAGGCGCCUGGCAUGAAGCAGAGCCUAAUACUGUCUGCCGAGGGACAGAGGAACCUCAUCUUGACUUGGGUCAAGUUCAACAGCCUCAUGCGUUUGAGACCACGCCACCCGCUUGAGAUGUGGCCCUCCACACAAAAUGCAGCGGUGCGAUGCUGCCUCUGAACUUGGGUGAACGUGAGAGAAUCAGAGGGAAGCCGUCCCCUUAAUUUCCCAUAACAAACAAAGAGACUUUGCUCGUUAACUCAGGCCAUCCAUUAUCGGUGUCGCUGUCCCGCUCUCCUAGGCAGAUAAAAUGCACUUGGCAGACAGGGACGGGCGUCUGUAGAACAUCUGCAGACCUUCCAGCAGGAGUUAAUAAGCCACACUAAUCAGGUUAGUUCUGGGCCUUUUGCUUUAAAAGCAUCAUCCUGCUUUCAGUGUAGAAGACCCCGAACAGGAGACACACCCAUCUGGGAAUUCCUCUUGAAAUUCUCCAGGAGUUGGUUAAUGAUAAACACAGCUACAGCGAACAACGGUUCAAGGGAUGAUUUCUCUGUCGCGUAUGUUAUUGGGUUGAACGUUUCUGCUCUGGCUUCUUGGAGUUUGUUCCUAAAAAGUAUCCCCAAAUAUGUUGAUGGAGGCAAGACUCUGAAUAAAAAGAGGUCAAUCCAAAGCGGCAUUUAAUCAGAAUCAGUCUCUUUCUAGGCUGGGCAUUGAGGGCAUAGCCAGGGAAGGGGGAGAGGGCAACACUGUACCAGAUUGGCAGGAAUAAGCCAUUCCUAAGCCCAGCUCAUUUCAGUAAAAACAGGCAUGAGGUGAAAGCAAGUUUUGAAACUGAAUUCUCCCAACAUGACUCGAGGGUUGUCUUUCUGACGCCAAUUUGCAAUUUGGUUUUGAAUAGGUGGAUGAAAGUCUAAUCUCCACAUGAAGAAUAGGACAUCUGACGUAUCUGACAUCUGACGAGCAUGAAGUUGAAAGGGGCUCUUCACCAAAACCUAGAGAAAUAUUCGAAUGCAGAUUCUGGAGAGGGAGAUAAUGUCCAGUGGAACGAAGAGUUAAUCUUAUCCAGGUUCAGAGCCAGAAACCUGUCAUAUGAAAUCCCAGUGAAGACCGACAUUCUUUCCAGAGGUGCCCAGCACACUGAUGGAAAGUGUCCCAGGCUUCAAGCUUCAAGCCUGCGAGUUUAACUCCUACCCCUUCCAACCAUCUGAAGAGGAAGAGCUGCAAGAGAGCUGUGAACAGAGGAGUGUCCACGGGAGCGGGGAGGCUGCACCCGCAGGCUCCCCAUCCGGGGAUGCGUGCAGGGAGAUGGGCGCAGGCCGCCCUUUCUAUCCUGUUCUCCUACACGAGCCGAAGGGCCGGCGGGGGCAGGUGUGACACGAUUCUGCUUGUUCUGUGCAUCCAAGCCCUUUUCUCUUUUCCACAUUGCUUGCAGCACUUUAGUUCUUUCUUUCGGGGACCGGGCAGGGCUCCAUUGUUUUUCUGGAUUCCAGGGUGUACCCCACAAAUUACCCGGGGUGGCUGGGAAUGAAGCCACUCUGCAAUGUUCUCGUAUGUAGCAGUCACAGCUGACUGACCUCGAAGGGAGCAGUGGACCCAAGAAAUCAACCAUGAGGCAAAAUCUGGGGAUCCACACCCUCCAGUCAUGCACCCUCGGGCCGGAAACUUGCAAACGAGGAAGUGCACCAGGGGCCAGCUGGCAAACGCCUUGCUCGCCUAGCUCACAUCUGACCGGUGCCCACCGUGUGCCAGCUUCCGAGCCAGCCGCUGGGCAGAGAAAUGGACCCCCGCCCCGGGGGCUCACAGUCCAGUGGGGAUACACACCUGACACUGGGGUCCCCCCUGCUCUGAGCUCUGAGGGUGUCAGGGUGCUGCCCACCUGCCUGCCUGAACUUCCUGUCCCAGCCCGUCACCUGCCAGCCCGCGGUGGGCAAACCUCCAGCUGCCGUGUCACCUGACUGCUUCUCGGGAUGCCUCCUGGCCUCCAGGCUUCCCUAGGGUCCCGGCCAGAAGAGGAGAUGGUCCCCGUGUCACGGCUCAGAUGCCCUGUUUGCGGUCCUCCCCGACCCUUGAUGGCUGAGAGCUGCAAAGCUGGGACUAAAUAGAGAGGUGAGCCUCCUGGGGACCUGGGAAAUACCGGGGCGGAGACCUGCAGGUCUUCAGUUUGCAAAUUGUGCAUCUUAACCACGAGGGUCCCCUGUGUUUGAAGAGCGCGUUUCUCCAUAAAGCGCAGGACAGGCAGGGCUUUCAGGUGACAGACUGCAUCAGCACCUCCUCGGCAGCAGGCAGGAGGUGCCCAGACGGAGCGCGACAGGAACGGGCCAGAAUCCCUGCUCCUCCUGCCAAGGAAGCGGACAGAUGCUGAAGGCAAAGAAGUCAACUGUGGUUUAUUCGAAGGGAAACCGUUACGGAGAAAGAGGAAUCAGGCGAGAGGGAGAGGAUGACGCGUCACGGCCGUUAUGAGUAGAGUGACCCGUGAAGGUGGCACUUAGAGCACGAAUUUGGAGGCGAGGAAGCAGCUACUUGGGUAUCUGGGAAGCGCACCCCCAGUGGAGGGACAAAGGCCCUGAGGUCGGAGCCCCCCGCCCUGGGCUGGAGGGAAGAGGGGCAGAGCGUAGGACACGAGGCCAGGGGUGCAGCAGGCCAGUCAGGGGUCUGAGCUCUGAGUGUGCAGGGCCUCAGAGGGCCACAGGGGACGCACAGGGUGAGGCCUCGCCCCGCGGAGUGGGAAGCAAGGGCAGGCGCCACAGCAGCAAUCCAGGAAAGGAGGCUCCUGACCUAGGUGCCAGUUUGUGGUGGACUGGAUGUGACGUGUGGAAGAAAGAAAGAAAGAAACCAGGGACCGCGUCCAGGGCGUUGGACUAGGCGCCUGGGUGCCUGGGCGGAUGGGGUUGGCAUCACCCAAGGAGGGGGCAGGCCUGGUGUGGGGCGAUUGGGGUGAAGUGUGAGACACACAUAAAAUCCACGUGAGGAUGUCAGGCGGGCAGGAGUUUAGUGCAGACAGAAGGCUGGAAUCCCCAGCACAGAGGCGUUUUUCAAGCCCCCAGAUGGCGGCGCUCAUGGGGAAGUGGGUGAGGCUAAAAGAGGCCUGAGCCCGAGCCCUGCGGGCAGACAGGUUAGACCCACUUUACCCACCAAGGUCUAGAGACGUCUCUGUCCAAGGCUGCGGAAGGGGGUCCACUUGGCCGGCCCCCAGCUCCUGGGGCCCUGGGAGACAGGCCCCCAGCCCACUUCCUCUUGUCUACUGGGCUUCUCCCAGGCCAGGAGCAGCAGUGAUGGCCGGUCGCCAAGUGUCACACGGGAUCAGGGUGGGCAGGAUGCUGCACGCGGACCCGCACAACCCCCGAGCCUGCCAACCAGACAGCAGUGCACAGUGUGGCCACAGGCCCAGGAACAAAGGCAGGUCGGUCACUGCACAACAUCAGCAAUUCUGCACAGAACGAGCCCUGUUACGCCCUGGGGCUUGGAAGCAGCCGGUCAAAUGGGCUUCCCAGCAAACCCCCAAACCCCAUCUCUUUCCUGGGCCAGACCCCAAGACGAAGGUUCCAGAAGGUUCCAGAAGGUCCCUCAGUCCCUUCCCCCCUCCAACCUCUCCCCACUAGGUGGCUGGGAGUUAGGGCUACAUACCCAGGUAGCAUUUCCUCAGACAUGAAGCCACGUUUCUCAAACCCAGGCGCCUGGAGAUCCCUCUAGAUUCUUCGAUUCCCACAUUGUUCUAGAGGAAACUCUGGUCACCUCAAUCCACGCUGAGAAUUACUGACUGUGGAAAUCCACAUGUCUGGUGUUUGUUUUUGUGCUUUUGAGCCUGAGAUUAGAAAGGCUUUAGGUCCUGAACCUCUUCCCCGGGGUGGGGGCGGUGAGUGGCCAAGAGUUCGAAAGCCCAGCUCUGGAUUUCCGUAGCCUCUCAGUAAGGCCUUACUCCCCUCAUCCGUGAAACGGGAAUAAUAACCAUCCCUGGUUCUCGGGGUUAAAUGGGUUAGUGUCAAGUUCUUAGAAUAGUGCCUGAUAUAAGGAGCCCUCACGAAGUCCCAGGGACUCUUAUUACCCCCGCAGGAGUGUGACAAAUGGACAGAGCCCUCUGCCUAAGCCAGGUUGGAGCCGUAGUCGGAAAACAGAAAGUUUCGCAUUAUUUAAGCCUGGCCACGGCGCACGCCGAGGCCUGCAUCACUUCGAACUGCAGUGUGAAAGGGUCAAACGGGGACUUCUUUAGAGCGACUGAAGUUUCUCUCUGUUACACUUUAAACACAGUCUUGCCAGGUGUCCUGGGAGCAGGACGAAUUAAGACAGUCUCGGCCAGUGAAUGAAAUCCAGGGUUUGGAAUCCAAAGAGACAGAAGCCCGAUCAGCGUCAGGCAGCUGGAUGGGCAGAAAAUUGUCCCCUUUUGGUGUUUUCUUUUCAUCCACAGACUUUUGUACGUGUCCUCGGGCAUCUGUCACUCCCAGGGACCAUCAGGCUUGGCUGGAGCGAUGCAGUCCUUGACCCUGGGUUCUGAAGACUCAGGGAACAUGCGUUCAUUGCUGUUGUUUGGAAAACCAGGUCUUCAGAACAAGAGAAACUGGGCCUGAGUUGCUGUUCAUGAGGAAACACCGAGAUGGAUCUGGACCUGCCUUGGGAAGCGCACUGCGGGACCUCGAGCCUGAGCCUGAGCCGUGAUGGGGAGAGAGCUUCGGGGGUCUUUGGGUUCUGUGUGCAGAACGAAUGUUCCCGAGGAUGGAGGUGAAUUCCAAAGACGAAUUUCCCUGUAUUCUGCAUGGCCCACUGCAUCUAAAAUGGAAGAGCCAAGAAGAAACCAGCCACUCACUGGUGGCCCUUCCUCUUCCUGAGCUGAUUCUGCGGAGACUGGUGAACGUGUUGUGACCAAGGAGACGUGUUCCCACGUGAAAUGCAAUUGGCUGCUUCUCCCAGGUGAGGUCCUCCCACAGUCCGGAAGGCAGGGGGCCCCCUGGACGGGGAAGGGGCGUACUCACCAUUUCUGUGAUUUCUGCAAUGUCUUCUCUGUGCUCCCAG